rnacentral:lncRNA from 1 species
CCCGGUUAAUAACUAACUUCCCCGCAGGCGCACACCCAGAAGAAAGUCCCCUUCCCUUAGAGAUAGCGCUCUCCCCAAGGUGACGGGCGGCGCAGCAGAGGGCGGACGGGGGAGACCAGCCCGUCAGAACCGGGGGACUGCUCGCCGUGAGCCCGAAUGCCGGUGGGAUAUUUUUCGGGCUUCGCCAGGGACGGUUCCGCGGAUCAUCCCCCCCAGGGCCCGAGAAAAGGGGCGCUCAAAACCGUUCGUCGACGCGGAAGUACGCGACUAAAGUUCGACAUGGUUGAUGUCCAGGUCAGCAGUGUGAGGACUGCGUCGACAAGCAACCCUGAAGAUUCCUGGCUUAAAACCAAUAUAACCAUGGAAAAUCUCGGAGCUGAAGGGGAGACAUGGCGCGGUGUCGCCAUCGCGAUGAUUGUCGUCUGCCUGCUGCUCCUUGGGGCCAUCGGCGUGGGAGUCUGGUAUUUCCUCAGGGGCAGAGAUUCGUGACAUGGGGUGUGGAAAAGACUGGGUGGAAAUGAGGGACCGAUACAAAACAGAAGAGGAGAGACAACAGAGAAAAGUAGGGAGCUUGCGUAGGCUGCAGAGGACCGGGAAAGGAAAGAAACGCUCCGGUUUCGCUGUGCCGCCUCCGUCGCAGAAGUCACGCCUGAAGAAGGCGCAGGCACACCCCGAUACCCGCACCCGUGACACAGCCUCCGCCCUGAGGCUCCAGGCUGCGCACACGCACUCACGGCUCUGGGGUGAGCCCCGGUCCGGCCCCACGCGCAGACGGAGGACCUCGCGUGUUCC